AAGAACAGGAACGUUCAGCUGACUGUGGAGCUGCUGGACACAGAGGAGGAGAACUCAGACGGGCCAAUGGAGAUCGAGUGCUGGUCGGAUUACGUUGUGCGGUAUCUGUCGGCUGAUUUCACCAUCUCCAGACCUGAGGGAUCAUCUGUCUCAAAAGCCUGUGUUUCUGCCAAGGAACCUGCGGCGGAUCCGUAAGUGUCAGCGUGGCUGUGAGUCUCAGGAGGACGCGGCGAAGGACAGAGGCAGAAAAGAGAAUGCAGU